ACUCCGGGAAACCGGGGGCUAAUACCGCAUACGACCUUCGGGUGAAAGCCGGGGACCCCUUCGGGGGCCUGGCGCUGGUGGAUGGGCCCGCGUCCGAUUAGCUAGUUGGUGAGGUAAAGGCUCACCAAGGCUCCGAUCGGUAGCUGGUUUGAGAGGAUGAUCAGCCACACUGGGACUGAGACACGGCCCGAGACUCCUACGGGAGGCAGCAGUGGGGAAUUUUGCACAAUGGGCGAAAAGCCUGAUGCAGCGACGCCGCGUGCGGGAAGAAGGCCUUCGGGUUGUAAACCGCUUUCAACAGGGAAGAAGGAAUGAGGGUUAAUACCCCUCUGCCUUGACGGUACCUGUAGAAGAAGCACCGGCUAAUUUCGUGCCAGCAGCCGCGGUAAUACGAAAGGUGCAAGCGUUGUUCGGAUUUACUGGGCGCAAAGCGCGCGUAGGCGGCUGAUCAAGUCGGAUGUGAAAUCCCGGGGCUCAACCCCGGAACUGCAUUCGAAACUGGUCGGCUAGAGUUCGAGAGGGGGAUGCGGAAUUCCGAGUGUAGCAGUGAAAUGCGUAGAUAUUCGGAGGAACACCUGAGGCGAAGGCGGCAUCCUGGAUCGACACUGACCGCUGAGGUGCGGAAAGCCGUGGGGUAGGCAAACAAGGAUUAGAUACCCUGGUAAGUCCACGCCCCUAAAACGGAUGUCUACUAGCCGUUGCGGGGUAUCGACCCCCUGCAGUGGGCAAAAGCUAACGCGAUAAGUAGACCCGCCCUGGGGGAGUACGGGCCGCAAGGGCUAAAAACUCAAAAGGAAAUUGAACGGGGGGCCCCGCACAAGCGGGUGGAGCAUGUGGUUUAAUUUCGACGCAACGCGAAAAACCUUACCUGGGGUUUU
rnacentral:rRNA from 1 species